rnacentral:rRNA from 1 species
CGUGUAGGCGGCUUGAUAAGGUUGCGGUGAAAGCCCGGGGCUCAACCCCGGGUCGGCCGUGGCAACUGUCGAGCUGGAGCACUGUAGAGGCAGGUGGAAUUCCGGGUGUAGCGGUGGAAUGCGUAGAGAUCCGGAAGAACACCGGUGGCGAAGGCGGCCUGCUGGGCAGUGGCUGACGCUGAGGCGCGACAGCGUGGGGAGCAAACA